UCACCCUCCACUCAGUAACACCUCACCCUCCACUCAGUAACACCUCACCCUCCACUCAGUAACACCUCACCCUCCACUCAGUAACACCUCACCCUCCACACAAUGGCACCUCACCCUCCACCCAGCGACAACCCCAAGUUGGUCCAUUUCUUGGAACCACAGUUUUAAAUACGAAUAUAUUUUGAGACUAUUGAUAGAGUAGUGUUCUGGUAAUGAGAUCAAGUUCUCUUACCUUCACAUUCCAAACAGGAAGCCAGCGUCUUGUUAUGAAUCAGUGGCACUAGAAUACUUCUCCCUCACUCUUGAACUGCUCACCGAUUUAAAAGUAGUACAUCGCUGUGUGUUAUGCACUCAGGAGGUAAUCGUAGAGUGGAAGCGAGAACAGUGGAGGCGUUGGUACACCAUAGAAACUGGCGUGCCUAACAGGCAGAGAUUGUCAACACAAUCAUCUCUGCCUGUGUGCAUUGUAAUGUGUGUGUGUGUAUUACAAAACAGUAACAUUAGCAAGGAACACAAAGACAUAUGCAAUUAUACGGGGGGAUUGAUGAGUUUAUAGUCGUAACUAGUUAUAAUGUGGAGGAGCUGAGAGAGUGAUGACUGUGGAUGGUAUUAAGAGUACCACAGAGGGAGUCUCGGUCCCUAUCAAGGCACUCUCACCACAGCUGUACCACCACGCUAGUGACGGAUCCGUCUUGACCACGGAGGGAUCCGUCUUUAACACGGGGGAUCCGUCUUGAACACGGGGGAUCCAUCUUGACCACGGAGGAUCCAUCUCGAACACGGGGGAUCCAUCUUGACCACGGAGGGAUCCAUCUUGACCACGGGGGAUCCGUCUUGACCACGGAGGGAUCCAUCUUGAACACGGGGGAUCCGUCUUGACCACGGAGGGAUCCGUCUUGAACACGGGGGAUCCGUCUUGACCACGGAGGAUCCAUCUUGAACACGGGGGAUCCGUCUUGACCACGGAGGAUCCAUCUCGAACACGGGGGAUCCAUCUUGACCACGGGGGAUCCGUCUUGACCACGGAGGGAUCCAUCUUGAACACGGGGGAUCCGUCUUGACCACGGAGGGAUCCAUCUUGAACACGGGGGAUCCGUCUUGACCACGGAGGGAUCCGUCUUGAACACGGGGGAUCCGUCUUGACCACGGAGGAUCCAUCUUCACCACGGGGGGACAGUCACUUUCGUUUGUGCUUGUUUCAAGUAAAAAAUAUGGUCAGGAUGUAUUAUACAGGUGUCUGCUUCACCGCGUAAUGGGCACAAUGCGAGUUUGAAGAUACCGUCGCAUAAAUGUGUAAUUUGAAUGCUCUCUUGUGUGCCUGUGUGUGUGUGUGUGAAUGUUCAGUUUCAAUUUCUAUUUCAAUAGGUCUGGGUACUGUGCGAUAUUUCACCGAGAAUAUAAAUCCAGUUAAAAAUCGACUCGACCGUGAAACAGGUAAAGCAUGAAGUGCAGUCAACAGGUCCUCAUAACUCAGACAGUGACAGGAACUGGAGCAAGAGGAGAUGAUUUGGUAGGAGAUAACUACAGUAUUAAUAAAGUUGGUCGAUUUUUAACUUGUGAGUGUCUUCCGCUACCCACUGAGACGCCUCAUCUUCACACUAGACCAACAAUACUUGACUCUACCAAACAACUCAAAUCAGAAAGAAAAAAAAAUUGAACUUAGAUCAUCAAAUCGGGAGAAAAUAUGAUAAAAGAAUAUUAUUCUUUGGUUUAUCCAUUUUAUUCAUACUGUCCAAGUUCCGAUUUGAGUUAUUGGUUAUCUUGGAUACAAGAUAACUAAUAAUGAUAACUUUAUGGGGGAAAUACUAGUGAUUCUGCUAGAAAAUUUAAGUGAACUAUAAUGAUGAAAAUAUAAAAAAACUUAUAAAAAAUACAUACAAAAAUAACUGUAAUAGCUGUAUAUUUACGAAUAGCUCUUGUGUUUUUAGCAUAGAUUCACGGUCUUUCUUCAAAAGAAAAUGUAGUCUUUAAUGGAUGAAACAUCACUGUUUUGUGUGAAGUUUGUGUGUCAUCUGAGCUGAGGCCAGGAGGCUGACACCAUGCCAGCCUCCGUAAGGCUGACACCAUGCCAGCCUCCGUAAGGCUGACACCACAGCCAGCCUCCGGAAGGCUGACACCAUGCCAGCCUCCGUAAGGCUGACACCAUGCCAGCCUCCGUAAGGCUGACACCACAGCCAGCCUCCGUAAGGCUGACACCAUGCCAGCCUCCGGAAGGCUGACACCAGAGCCAGCCUCCGUAAGGCUGACACCAUGCCAGCCUCCGUAAGGCUGACACCAUGCCAGCCUCCGUAAGGCUGACACCAUGCCAGCCUCCGUAAGGCUGACACCAUGCCAGCCUCCGUAAGGCUGACACCAUGCCAGCCUCCGUAAGGCUGACACCACAGCCAGCCUCCGUAAGGCUGACACCAGAGCCAGCCUCCGUAAGGCUGACACCAUGCCAGCCUCCGUAAGGCUGACACCAUGCCAGCCUCCGUAAGGCUGACACCAUGCCAGCCUCCGUAAGGCUGACACCAGAGCCAGCCUCCGUAAGGCUGACACCAUGCCAGCCUCCGUAAGGCUGACACCAGAGCCAGCCUCCGUAAGGCUGACACCAUGCCAGCCUCCGGAAGGCUGACACCAGAGAUGACUCCAAAAGCCGUUUAGAGGAGACUAAGGAGACUAACUAUAGCUAACGAGCAGUUUCACAGCAUCUCUUUGCCAGUUUAUUAUAAUCGUUCACCAAUGGUAAUUGUUUAGCGAGAACAAAUGCUAGCGCACGUCAUGCCAAGCGUUGAGUGGAAGAUGCAGGGAAGCAAGAUCAUUUUUUUUAUUAGCAAUAAUAACAUAUCAUUCCAUAAUUGAUCAUAUCAUGAUUGACACAUCCAUAGACGAUAGUGGUACACAUGUGAGCAGCAGCUCUUGUCGAGUAAAGCACAUGUAAUAUUCCUGUUUUGCGAUUGUAUACGCAUUGUAUACAUCGCCGCCUACGCAAUGUAUACUUCUUGGUUUUGUAAAACUUGUAAGUGUUGAGGUUGAAAAUGGUCCAGGGUAAAGUACCAGCAUCAAGUGAGCCAAGUAGGUACGGGGUGGGGGGGAGAAUUCAGCAGAUGUUAAAUUGUCCAAAUGAUUAAAGUACCUUUCGAGUUAAUUCUGCUUGGCGUAGUGUUGAUAAACACAGAGAUAUGCAGAAUAAGUUCACAAAAUCAAAUAAUAGAAUGAGUUUGGGUGGAUAAAAAUAGGAGCUGUCUUGUAUAGGCCAAUAGGAGCUGCCUGGAAUGAGAGAAUAGGAGCUGCCUCGUAUGGACCAAUAGGAGCUGCCUCGUAUGGACCAAUAGGAGCUGCCUGGAAUGAGAGAAUAGGAGCUGCCUCGUAUGGACCAAUAGGAGCUGCCUCGUAUGGACCAAUAGGCCUUCUAUAGUUUCCUUUACCUUCUUGUUUUUACAUGAAAACAAAUGAUAUCUUUAUUUAAAACUGCGACAUGAAAGCAUCAGUUAAAAUCAAUGUAAAAACUUUGUUUAAUCUUUCUUGAGAGUGCACAGGUCAACUUGUUGACAACGACUGUCAUUCAGAAUAUUUCAUAGUUUCUUAAGCCAGCUUUUGUAUUACUGGAAUGAAUUGUAUUUCUUAGAAUCAUUACAUUUUCAUCAAUUCAUAUUUUGUAUUGAACUUUGACAACGUAGUACAAGUAUUUAUCCAGGCUGGAUAAAGUGAUGAACUGAUUAUGUUUCCAGCAAAUGUUCAUCAUAUUGGCAAGUGUUCACAACAGUAUAGGGACCAAUGUUCAGGGCGCUGGAGCCUGGGUCUGAAACCAUCCUACUAACUAUAUGACAGGAGUCUGGAGUGAUUUAAUUAGCCUGGUCCUAAGAUAGCGUCUAGAAUCAUUCUACCUGUUCAAGAGGUACAACAGACGAGAGGUUUAGUGAACCAUCUCACUGAGGAUAUAAACGGUACAACAGACGAGAGGUUUAGUGAACCAUCUCACUGAGGAUAUAAACGGUACAACAGACGAGAGGUUUAGUGAACCAUCUCCCUGAGGACAUACACGGUGACGAAUGUUCUUAGCGAAGUUUAGAUUGCUUGUAAAAGUAUAGAAAAAAUGAAUAAGUUGGACAGGACGACCUGAGGAAAUAGUAGGAGUGUGAUAAAGGCCACGACAGUGAAUUACCCCGAGAGGCAAGGUUUAGGGGGGUGACUAGGACAAGACUGCACACGAAAGGCAACAAUAACCCCGUUGAUCAAGGCAGGUUUGUGUUCGUUUUUAUUGUGCUAUGGAACUUUUUGUGGGCAUUAGGGCUAUUUUUCGGACAUUUAUAGCAGACAAAAAUGAAUUCGAUAUUUAUAUCCUACAUUUGUGUUUCAAAUGAUUUAGUGAGUGUUGAGGAUCCUGUAUUUACUCGUGUUCAAGAUAAGUCCAAUUUAUAAUUUUGUUUAAUUGGAGUUCCAAUUUCCUGUUGCUGUCUAUCUCGGGAAUGAUCUGGGACAAUAUCCACCAAUUACCAAUUAUUUUUUUCGUAAAAUAGAUUCGCUAAAUUGUGUCCAUUUGAAAUUAUUCUUCUCAAAAUAUAUUUUGUAUAGCUUCCAUUUAUCACAAGGGACAUAUAGUAUACCUUCAUAUAUACUAUUUUGUCCUCGUUAAUAUACAUCGUUAUACCGUCACCAAAAGCAAAAGACGUGUCACUUAUCUUUACUAUUUUCUAACAAUUGCUGCUGGUGGAGUGAAUCACAAUAAACAAAGAAUCAUCAUACGGUUUACAAGGCAAUCAAAGAAUUAUGUUCUAUCAACAAAAUCAUUGCUUAAUCAUUUUGAUCAUUUAUUGUGUUCUGCGGGUCGAGGCAGGACAGAUAUGGUGUUCAGGUAGGCUGGAGGAGGGAAGAUAUGGUGUUCACUUGGUUCAGUCUGUGUAGAUAUGGUUGAUGUCUGAAUAGUUAUAGAGAGAGGAGACACAUUAUAGAAUUUGAACACAAUGAAUAUAUUCUUUUAAGUGAAUUAAACGUCCGGAGGUUUCAUUCAUUAUAUAUAUAUAUAUAUAUAUAUAUAUAUAUAUAUAUAUAUAUAUAUAUAUAUAUAUAUAUAUAUAUAUAUAUAUGUGUAUAUAUAAUAUAGCAGCAUUUCUUUCAAGUGGAUAAUCGGAGACUCGAACUCGGGCCUCAAAAGUAGGAGAACUGUUGUCGUACCAACUAGGCCAUGGAUGUGGGACAAGGAUGACGGGGUGUAGACCCUCCAGAUACUAUAGUGGUGCUCCAGGGAAGGUAGUAUAAGGUCUCUGUUGGGUUCCAGUUAGGUGUUUCUGAGAGCUUUCCUUAGUGUGAGCAUCCAUGGUGUGGUUGGUAGGACAUCAGUCUAAACCAUUUUUCAUGGUCGACGUUUGAGACCCAAGUGAAUGAAACGUUAUCACCUACGGUGUUGGUGUUUGCAUUUGAUAUUACAAUAUAUUGAGAAGAGUAUACGGAAAAUGGAACACGUACUCUAAAGACAGCAACGGUAAACUAAACUGGAGUUAACUGAUAGUGAACACUGAACAUGCAUGGAACACCUUCACUCACAAUCAAAACAGAUAUUAUGACCCGCUUAAUAACUUUUGGAGAUGUAUAUAUAUAUAGAUAGAGGUAAAUAUGUGAUAUUUUUAUAACCUCUGAUAAGAGAUUUGAUAGCAUCAAGACACUGCUAUUUUAGCAUAGCUGGAUAUGAUUGCGUUAUGUUUAUACAUAGCACUGUAAAUAAAUAACAAAAAUACAAGUAAAAAGUACA